rnacentral:rRNA from 1 species
UACGUAGGGGGCAAGCGUUGUCCGGAAUCAUUGGGCGUAAAGCGCGUGUAGGCGGUUCGGUAAGUCUGCUGUGAAAGUCCAGGGCUCAACCCUGGGAUGCCGGUGGAUACUGUCGGACUAGAGUACGGAAGAGGCGAGUGGAAUUCCCGGUGUAGCGGUGAAAUGCGCAGAUAUCAGGAGGAACACCAAUGGCGAAGGCAGCUCACUGGGACGGUAUUGACGCUGAGACGCGAAAGCGUGGGGAGCAAACAGG